GUAUCAAAAUGAUGGUUGCCCAGCUCACUACGCUCGUCCUGUGAGACAAUACCUAGACCACGAGUAUCCGGGGCGUUGGAUCGGGCGACUUGGUCCUAUCCUAUGGCCACCCCGAUCACCCGACCUAAACCCCCUGGAUUUCUUUUAUUGGGGUUGUCUCAAAGACAGGAUCUACGCAAAACCGAUUACGACAUUGGACGUGCUUCGGCAAAAAAUCACUCAGGCUGCGGCACAUAUCAAUGCUAGAAGAUAUGCGC
rnacentral:lncRNA from 1 species